rnacentral:rRNA from 1 species
GACGAACGCUGGCGGCGUGCUUAACACAUGCAAGUCGAACGGAAAUGCCCUGCUUGCAGGGUACUCGAGUGGCGAACGGGUGAGUAACACGUGGGUGAUCUGCCCUGCACUUCGGGAUAAGCCUGGGAAACUGGGUCUAAUACCGGAUAGGAGCCAUUUUUAGUGUGAUGGUUGGAAAGGUUUUUCGGUGUAGGGUGAGCUCGCGGCCUAUCAGCUUGUUGGUGGGGUAAUGGCCUACCAAGGCGGCGACGGGUAGCCGGCCUGAGAGGGUGGACGGCCACAGUGGGACUGAGAUACGGCCCAGACUCCUACGGGAGGCAGCAGUGGGGAAGAUUGCACAAUGGGCGAAAGCCUGAUGCAGCGACGCCGCGUGGGGGAUGACGGCCUUCGGGUUGUAAACUCCUUUCGCUAGGGACGAAGCUUUUUGUGACGGUACCUAGAUAAGAAGCACCGGCUAACUACGUG